rnacentral:rRNA from 1 species
GACGGAGGAUGCAAGUGUUAUCCGGAAUCACUGGGGCGUAAAGCGUCUGUAGGUGGUUUAAAAAGUCCACUGUUAAAGAUUGAAGCUUAACUUCAAAAAUGCCGUGGAAACUUUUAAACUUGAGUAUGAUAGGGGUAGAGGGAAUUUCCAGUGGAGCGGUGAAAUGCGUAGAUAUUGGAAAGACCACCAAUGGCGAAGGCACUCUACUGGGCCAUGACUGACACUGAGAGACGAAAGCUAGGGGAGCAAAUGGG